rnacentral:rRNA from 1 species
GGUCCGUGUUUCAAGACGGGCGACUUAAGAUCAUUAUGCCAACAUCCUAGGUAUAAACCGCAGUCCUCAGUCUAGGCUGGCAGUAUCGACGAAGGCUAUAACACACAACCGAAGCCGUGCCACAUUCCAACGCAAUUCUCCUACCGCCCAAACUGAUGCUGGCCCGAUAAACUGUAGAGGCCACCCCCGAAGAAGUAACAUACAAAAUACCAAGUCUGAUCUCAAGCCCUUCCCUUUCAACAAUUUCACGUACUUUUUCACUCUCUUUUCAAAGUUCUUUUCAUCUUUCCAUCACUGUACUUGUUCGCUAUCGGUCUCUCGCCAAUAUUUAGCUUUAGAUGGAAUUUACCACCCACUUAGAGCUGCAUUCCCAAACAACUCGACUCUUCGAAGGAACUUUACAUAGGCCUGGAUCAUCUCAUCGCACGGGAUUCUCACCCUCUGUGACGUUCUGUUCCAAGAAACAUAGACAAGAGCCAGACCCAAAGAUACCUUCUUCAAAUUACAACUCGGACUCUGAAAGAGCCAGAUUUCAAAUUUGAGCUUUUGCCGCUUCACUCGCCGCUACUAAGGCAAUCCCUGUUGGUUUCUUUUCCUCCGCUUAUUGAUAUGC